UUUGAAUUUAUUUUUUUUAUGAUAUGAUAUUUGGUGGCAGAUGCGACCCAUUUGAUUCGGCGAUGUUCAAGGCAUGGAUCAAUCAAGGAAUGUGCCCUGCAAAUCCUGUGGUACUAAGAUUGUUUAAAACGUUGAUAGAGAAAGGAUUCAAAGUGUUCUUAGUAACGGGUAGAUACGAAGGAACACUUGCCAAAAUCACUACGGACAAUUUGCAUAACCAAGGAUUCAUCGGCUACCAACGCCUUAUUUUAAGGUUAGGUGGAUAGUGACUGCUACCUACGUUACGUUCUCAUGACAAAAUUAUUGGUGACUAGGAGGAUAUGUUUAUAACAACAAUGAUGAUAUUUGUGUGGAUGAAUCAACGUUACAUGAUGUAAUAUACCACAUUAGUAUUAGUACAAUAAUAAUCUCCAUGGAGACAA